AGCAGCCGCGGUAAUUCCAGCUCCAAUAGCGUAUAUUAAAGUUGUUGCAGUUAAAAAGCUCGUAGUUGAAUUUCGGGGUUCUACCGUUGGUCGGGCAAUAGUCUGUACUGGCGUGUGGAAUUUCUACCUUCUGGGGAACCAUCAUGUUAUUUAUUUAGCGUGGUGGGAAACCAGGACCUUUACCUUGCAAAAAUUAGAGUAGUUCAAAGCAGGCUUACGUCUGAAUACAUUAGCAUGGAAUAAUAAAAUAGGACGGUGGUCCUGUUUUGUUGGUUUCUGAAUCACCGUAAUGAUUAAUAGGGAUAGUUGGGGGCAUUAGUAUUCAAUUGUCAGAGGUGAAAUUCUUGGAUUUAUUGAAGACUAACUUCUGCGAAAGCAUUUGCCAAGGAUGUUUUCAUUAAUCAAGAACGAAAGUUAGGGGAUCGAAGACGAUCAGAUACCGUCGUAGUCUUAACCAUAAACUACUGCCGACUAGGGAUCGGACGAUGUUAAUUUUUCUUGACUCGUUCGGCGCCUUACG
rnacentral:rRNA from 1 species